rnacentral:rRNA from 1 species
AUUGAACGCUGGCGGCAGGCCUAACACAUGCAAGUCGAGCGGAUGAAGGGAGCUUGCUCCUGGAUUCAGCGGCGGACGGGUGAGUAAUGCCUAGGAAUCUGCCUGGUAGUGGGGGAUAACGUCCGGAAACGGGCGCUAAUACCGCAUACGUCCUGAGGGAGAAAGUGGGGGAUCUUCGGACCUCACGCUAUCAGAUGAGCCUAGGUCGGAUUAGCUAGUUGGUGGGGUAAAGGCCUACCAAGGCGACGAUCCGUAACUGGUCUGAGAGGAUGAUCAGUCACACUGGAACUGAGACACGGUCCAGACUCCUACGGGAGGCAGCAGUGGGGAAUAUUGGACAAUGGGAGAAAGCCUGAACCAGCCAUGCCGCGUGUGUGAAGAAGGUCUUCGGAUUGUAAAGCACUUUAAGUUGGGAGGAAGGGCAGUAAGUUAAUACCUUGCUGUUUAGGCGUUACCAACAGAAUAAGCACCGGGUAACUUCGUG